rnacentral:rRNA from 1 species
GACGAACGCUGGCGGCGUGCUUAACACAUGCAAGUCGAACGGAAAGGCCCUGCUUUUGUGGGGUGCUCGAGUGGCGAACGGGUGAGUAACACGUGAGUAACCUGCCCUUGACUGUGGGAUAACUUCAGGAAACUGGGGCUAAUACCGGCUAGGAGCGCCUGCUGCAUGGUGGGGGUUGGAAAGUUUCGGUGGUUGGGGAUGGAGUCGGGGCUUAUCAGCUUGUUGGUGGGGUAGUGGCUUACCAAGGCUUUGACGGGUAGCCGGCCUGAGAGGGUGACCGGCCACAUUGGGACUGAGAUACGGCCCAGACUCCUACGGGAGGCAGCAGUGGGGAAUAUGGCACAAUGGGCGGAAGCCUGAUGAAGCAACGCCGCGUGCGGGAUGACGGCCUUGGGGUUGUAAACCGCUUUCGCCUGUGACGAAGCGUGAGUGACGGUAAUGGGUAAAGAAGCACCGGCUAACUACGUG